GGGCACCUUGUUUAAGUGUCAACGUAACGAUUAGGAAGUGGUGCACUCAGCAGUUGCUGGCCACUUUCGCCGGGUUUCGUGGGGGACGUCAAAACGAUACUGUCUCGUGACCUGUGAAGACGAGUGAGGGGAACGGAAUGAGAAAGAGAGGGAGCGCUUCAGUGACUGGUUGCUUUUCCCAUGCCCCCAGCUGGGGACCUGGCCCGCAACCCAGGCCUGUGCCCUGACUGGGAAUCGAACCAGCGACCCUCCAGUUUGCAGGCGGGCGCGCAAUCCAC